GUGGGGAAUAUUGCACAAUGGGCGCAAGCCUGAUGCAGCGACGCCGCGUGAGGGAUGACGGCCUUCGGGUUGUAAACCUCUUUCAGCAGGGAAGAAGCGCGAGUGACGGUACCUGCAGAAGAAGCACCGGCUAACUACGUGCCAGCAGCCGCGGUAAUACGUAGGGUGCGAGCGUUGUCCGGAAUUAUUGGGCGUAAAGAGCUCGUAGGCGGCCUGUCGCGUCGGAUGUGAAAGCCCGGGGCUUAACCCCGGGUCUGCAUUCGAUACGGGCAGGCUAGAGUUCGGCAGGGGAGAUUGGAAUUCCUGGUGUAGCGGUGAAAUGCGCAGAUAUCAGGAGGAACACCGGUGGCGAAGGCGGAUCUCUGGGCCGAUACUGACGCUGAGGAGCGAAAGCGUGGGGAGCGAACAGGAUUAGAAACCCUAGUAGUCCU
rnacentral:rRNA from 1 species